ensembl:lncRNA
CUUGGCAUGACAUUGGUGCGUCCCUGCGUGAGCGUUUGCGAGCCUAGCAGUUUGACAGUUUUGCACUACUACGGUGGACAACAAAUUAAUAUCAAUGACUUCAUCAACGGCCCCUAAAUUUCUCAUUCACCGGAUACCAACAAAUAAUACCGCUAAGACAACGAAAAAAAGAGGAAAGACACUUGUUGAAAGGACAGCUACUAAAAGGGAGGCGGCGAGAGCUCGAAAUAAAACCAGAGUAAACAUUGGCGUGGCUUAUGAGCGAUGGAGAGAGUUACGUGACCUGAGGAACUUAAAAUCGGACGCUGAGAUGGCUACAUUUCUUAUAGACGGAGCUGAUGACUUCUUGGAUGCUCAAGAUGUAGAGGACACCAAUCCUGCCACUACAUUUCAAAGUAUGGAUACAAGAAAUCUAUGCGGAUCAGAUGUGUCCAUGUCAACGCGGCUAUUGAAGUCAUAUCUGAAGAAGAAUUUAAUGACAUCCGGAAUUCUACAAUUGGCUGGGCCGAUAACACCUGGGAAGAUGACAGUGGAGAAGAUGACAGCUGGCACCCUGAAAUGGAGAUGGAGGAUGGGUCAUCUUCAGAGGAGGUUUCCUGAGUUUCAGUUAAGUAAACAUGUUUUCAUAAGAAGGUUGUUGUAAGUUGCUAAGCCCUGCUAUAAGGGCAUUUGACACACAGUGCUCAGGCUAAUGACUUCGCUGAGGUGCUUGCUAUACACUGUCUUACACUUGCCACAAUACUGGGCACAUGGUUUUCUAAACACUAUUCAUGGUAAUGACUCUAACAAGCAUAUCUAUCACGCUGUAUUCAUGGCCACUUUCAAAUGAGCACUAAAGUUCUAUGUGUAUAUAUAUGUGGGGUCAUAGCUUAAACAUCUGUUUCUUUUAUUCUGUAAGGUCAGCCGCUGAGCUGGAAUCCUUCCACAAUCAUAUACUGAUGUAUGCCAGCAAACGAUUCAGCUUUAGCCCACCUGUUUACAAAGCAUGCACCCUCUUAGCAGUGUUGGACUGAAACCAUCAUGUUCACAGACCGGUGAAGAGGAAGACUGAUGGCUCAAUAGA